AUUGAACGCUGGCGGCAGGCUUAACACAUGCAAGUCGAGCGAGCGGCGGACGGGUGAGUAAUGUCUGGGAAACUGCCUGAUCGAGGGGGAUAACUACGGGAAACGGUAGCUAAUACCGCAUACCAUCAGAUGGGCCCAGAGGGGAUUAGCUAGUAGGUGGGGUAAUGGCUCACCUAGGAGACGAUCCCUAGCUGGUCUGAGAGGAUGACCGGCCACACUGGAACUGAGACACGGUCCAGACUCCUACGGGAGGCAGCAGUAGGGAAUCGUGCACAAUGGGCGAAAGCCUGAUACAGCAAUGCCGCGUGUGUGAAGAAGGCCUUCGGGUUGUAAAGCACUUUCGUCGGGGAGGCGGUACUCGAACAGGAAGCAACGGCUAACUCCGUGCCAGCAGCCGCGGUAAUAC
rnacentral:rRNA from 1 species